CUUCUGUUAGGCCUGAAUAAAGAGAGCAGACAAAACGAGGUAUGCCAACCUGACCAAAGUCAGGCUAACAGAGGUUUGUGGGUAAUCCCUGAGCGGAAGAGAACUGAGAAGCAGCCUUGUCUACAUCAGAACGUUGC